UUGUCAGAAAAAUUAAUUACUAAAAUAGUAUUUUUUUAAUCGCGCCUAUCUGGCAGGCGCGAAUCAAUUUUUUUAUUAUUUUUUUAAUCGCGCCAAUCUGACAGGCGCGAAUUGAUUUUUUAUUAUUUUUUAAUCGCGCCUAUCUGACAGGCGUGAAUCAAAUUUUUAUAUUAAAAAUAUUUUUUUAAUUGCUCCUACCUGACAGGUACG
rnacentral:lncRNA from 1 species